AUACCUUCGGUUUGACGAUUUAUUGUCUCGCCGGCGUUGGCGGUUUUGGGAUACGCGGGGCAACCCGCGCCAUUCUGCUUAAACACUGACAGCGGUCGAGUUUCCUACCCAAUCGAUUAGUAGAAAUAUUCAUCGUUUAAAGGUUUGAACUCUUCGCAAUACAAAAUAGGGCCUAACCCCCUUAAAAAGGGCUAAACCCAUAA
rnacentral:misc_RNA from 1 species